UCACUUCCAAACUUUCAUAUAUCUUUCUUUCAUUCUCUGAACAAUUUCAAACUUUAUCAUUUGCUACUGUCUAAAUUUCUUUCCUGCUCUCCUAUCCUAUAUCAUUUGUCUUAAACAAUUUGACCAGCUAGUGAAAAAAAAACUGAGUUGAGUACAUACCAUGUUGAGUAAUUGGAGAUCUACAACAAUUUUAUUAUUUAAUUACUGAUAUAACACAUUUUAAAAAAUGUAGAUAAACAUUUUAUUAAUUAUUUAGUACUAUUGCAAUAUUAAAAAAAAAAGAUUGAAAAAAUACACUGCUUCACUCUCUCUCUCCCAUUUCUCCAAUCUCUCUCAUGGAUUUCUUGCAAUCAUUCUUGUGAUCUCAAGCUCUCAUCAACAUCAGCAUGGAUAGGAUCUAAAUAUAUUUAUUGAUGAGAAGAGUGAAAGAAGAGGAGAAAAAAUUUAGCGGAGUGGAAGUGUUGGAACUCAAGGCCAAAGAUGCAAACUUUUGGAUUGGAAUGGUUAUGGGAAUAUUGUUGCUUAUGGAUAUUUCAUUUAAUAUUUUUGUCAUUUGGAAUUUUUGUUGUUGGAUGAUGAUUAUAGAGUGGAAGUGUUGGAACUCAAGGCCAAAGAUGCAAACUUUUGGAUUGGAAUGGUUCUGGGAAUAUUGUUGCUUAUGGAUAUUUCAAUGCAAAUGAUCCAAAAGAUUUACUUCUUGAUGUCCCUAUUAGACUGUUUGCCAUGAAGGUUGGUAUUGAUUUUGCAAGAGAGCCUGGUAUGCAUUUUUGUGGAGGCCUACUUCAGGAUAACUUGUAUUGAAGAAAGUGUAGGAAGUGUUAUUGCUUGGCCAGCCGAAAAAGUCAUAAUGAGGGAUAACUAGUAUCGAAAAUAGUGUUGGAAGUGUUACUGCUUGGCUCGCCGGUAAAGUUAUAAUGAGGUGAUGAAGACAGCAACGCGAGAAUUGGAUGCUUGCAAUUAAUAAAGAGAUAGUAUUGGACAAAUGUUACAAUUUGCCUUUUAUUAGACUCAUUAGACAUAUUAUUUCUAAGCAUAAACUUUUAUUAUGGUAUUUUGCACUUGGAAUUUUUUCAUUUGGGACACAUGUAUUGGAUAUUUUGGUUGAUAAAAAAAAUACAUUAGAC